CGCUGGCGGCGUGCCUAACACAUGCAAGUCGAGCGGAGAUGUACUGAAGAUUUAUCGGAUGUACAUCUUAGCGGCGGACGGGUGAGUAACGCGUGGGCAACCUGCCUUCCACUGGGGGAUAACACAGGGAAACCUGUGCUAAUACCGCAUGACAUCACAUAGGGCAUCCUGUGUGAUCAAAGGAGUGAUCCGGUGGAAGAUGGGCCCGCGUCCGAUUAGCUAGUUGGUGAGGUAACGGCUCACCAAGGCGACGAUCGGUAGCCGGACUGAGAGGUUGGCCGGCCACAUUGGGACUGAGACACGGCCCAGA
rnacentral:rRNA from 1 species